AUUUAACAUUAGUUACGAUAAUGUAAAAUCAUGAAUUCGUUAUUACGCCGUAAAUAUUUGUCCGUUUGUUCCUACAUUUUUUCCCAAUAAUUAUGAAAACCUGCUUGCAAAAUCAAAAAGUGACUUCCUUAAAGACAAUUUUCGAAAUCUGAGGUCUGAAAACUAAAUUUUCGGUUUUUAAAUUCAAAAUCCAGAUUUUCGGAUAAUCCGAAUUUAUAUCACAUCACUAGCAACCACAAAAAUUAUACCUCACUACUUUCUCUUUACCUAAACUAAAAAGUGUAAUAUCUCGUUGACUAGUUGAAGAAAACCAAAAGUGGCGACACCAAAACUUAUUUAAAGUAAU